GUUUGAGAAAUGCGCGGGCGGCGGCUCCUCCUUCCGCCGCCCGGAUGCAUGAUCUCCACGGCGG
rnacentral:sRNA from 1 species